AGUGCACCACUUUUAGCCAGAGCCCUAGGUGAAGUAGUGCACUACUUUUAGCCAGAGCCCUAGGUGAAGUAGUGCACUACUUUUAGCCAGAGCCCUAGGUGAAGUAGUGCACUACUUUUAGCCAGAGCCCUAGGUGAAGUAGUGCACUACUUUUAGCCAGAGCCCUAGGUGAAGUAGUGCACUACUUUUAGCCAGAGCCCUAGGUGAGGUAGUGCACUACUUUUAGCCAGAGCCCUAGGUGAGGUAGUGCACUACUUUUAGCCAGAGCCCUAGGUGAAGUAGUGCAGUGUAAAGACAAAGGUACCAUUUCAGAUGCAGCCAGAGAGACAAGCUCAGAAUACAUCCUCCCAGAUUCAGAGCCAUAACCACCCCAAGACAACACGCC